AUUUUGCUUAUUCUGGCUGAUUAGACCUUGCUCUGGUUGAAGGUGGGCCGGAGCUUUGAUGGGAAUUUAUUACGUCACAAAUGUCAUCUACCAAUAAGAAUGAUGAAGCUAUCAUUGUCCUGCCCAAACAGGUGCAACAAGGCUGACAGGAGACUCAGGGAAAUGUAAAGCAAUCAGUCUAAACACACCCACACGGUCCUGGGAAGAGGUCCAAUCCGCCAGAAUAACUAAAAAACACCUGUGUGGGUGUCCAGGGCCUUUAAAAAAUGCCAAAUGCAAAUUACAA